GGCGCCACGCAUUUCCCUCCCGCGUCUUCUCGCUGGCUCUUGGUGGUGGCUGCCGUGCCGCGCCGCGGCGAAGUCGCCUCCGUCCCCCUGGGGAUCCUCCGUAGCAGUUCCCGUUUGUGCCGGCUCACGCCGGAGCCGUGAAAAGGGCGGGCCGCUGUGAGGAAAGGCCCCGUCCCCCCUCCCCACCCUCCUGUCUUUGUCUCCUGCCCGCCCCUCCGCUGGCCCUGCGGCUCGGCCAGCGGGCCUGCCGCCAUUUUCUCGGGCGCAGCUUGCCCAGUGCCCAGCAUAAAUGAGAUCCCGGCUUGAAUAUAAGAAAGAAGGAUGAUGCUCUUUGGACAGCAAAAAUGAGCGGUAAGAAUUCCAGGAGCAUGAAGCAUGUUUCACUGAAUAGUCAAAGGCUGGGUAAGAUCAUCAUGAAGUGCCUACAACCUUUUCUUCUUUCACACAGUGCAUCCACAUGCAUUCUCAUUUGUCUGUGGAAUAAAUUUGCUAUAGUAAUACCAGAAGCAGUGCUAGCAUACUUGCACUUAGGGCCAGUCCCUGAUGUGGCACUUUUCUGGUACUGGCUUACAGCUCAAGGAGAGCUAUGGUGAAUUCAGUAGCGCUGAAUGCCAUGCCACUGUUUCUUAGCAGACUUUGAAGAAAUUAAGAAUUGUGGUAAGUAUAACAGGAAGUUUAAAAUUGGCACGUCUCAUAUUUUACAUAAAGAUUCAUAGAAGUGUGACAAUAUGUCUGCUUAUCUGUCCUAGCCAGAACAAGAGUCCAGUAGUGUCUGUAGUAAAGAAAUCAAUGAAAUUAAGAGAAAGAAAGAAAAAAAAAGAGGCUGUUUUUUAUUAAUGCAUUUGUUAAUAGCACAUUUAUCUGAGCAUUUUCACAUCUAAAAAAAUAUUUCAGCUCUGUGACACAAUAGAUCUGGACUUUGUAUUAAGGCAAUUGUAGUGAAGACUGCAACAAUGGCGUGCUGUCUACUGCCUCGGUCAGGAUUGCUCUGGUCGCUUCAGUGAGCCUCCUUUGACAAGACAUCUGAAGGUGCAAAGCUGUAAGAAAAAUGGAGUGUAACCACAGUCAUAAUCUGACUGUUCGAGGCAGCAGGAGAAUAACUACCACAGAAGUCAGGGAAAAUUGCAUCAUUUCAUUUUCAUUUGUGAAUGGUACUGAAGGUACUUUGUCAGUUUCUGAAGACAGCUACAUGCACCUUGUCUAAGACUAUUCUUUUAUAGCUUACAUUAUUUGUGGAGAAGCAGACAGUUCUGUCCUUGUAAAUGGAUUGAUCGCCAUGCCUUUCAUCUGGUGAUCCUCUCUGGAGAGAGCACCACUCUUCCACAGCCUUUCAUUAUCUCCCUCUACACUUCCUACAGAAUGGAAAACAUUUUUUUAAUCUUUCUUGCCAUCACAAUGCAGACCUCUGACCUACAGCCAAAGCCAUUUGUGUCUCUGCUGCUCCAGCUGCAGUGUGCCAAAGACCUCUUCUCUAUAUUGCUUUCUAGGCACUGCAGGGAAGAUGGUCAUUAAGUUAGUCAGCAACGCUGGCUAUACUUGGCUCUGACUAAGUAUCCAACCCUUUCAUAGUGCAAAAAAAGAUAAUUUUUUUUUUUUUUUCCUUACCAUCAGGUGACGUGUAGGCAUAACGGAAUUUUGCAGGCCAAAAGGAUCUCCAAAGAUCCAGAUCUAAAGACAGCCUGGAACUGGUUGCUCCUGAGUGGUGAGCAAUGGCAAGGUUAGCUACUCCUGCUGCCAUGCUGGAGUUGGAAAGGGUGGUGACAGCACAUCAUGUUUUUAUGAGUGACUAUCCAUUUCCUGGACUACGCCAUAGCCAAGGAGGCAGCGGAGCCACAGUAUUUCACUGCUGCCCCCUGUCUACUACCUAUUUUGCUUUUACCUAUAGCUACCUACAAGCUUCUUGCAUCAUGAUUUUUAACUUUCUGAGUGACUUAGAAUUCAGUGCAAUGUUUGUGAGAAGUCAGCUGAUUUGGAAAAGAUGAUGAGAUGCGAUUGUAAAGAAAUGGUGAAUUCUCAGUAGCAAUUACACCAUGUUACUGUCGGAUGGUUACACUGAGAACUACAAACUAAUUUGCAGCUAGGUUGUGUCAUUUCCUCUCUUAAGACUGUGUGAGAGAGGACUUGACUUCUGGUCAUAUUCUCAAGUAUAGAGACCUGGUAUAAGUAAGUGACAGUGAAAGAAAUUUAGCCACCUAUUCAGAAAAAUAGAGGGCAGGCUUCCUGUGAAUCUUGAUAUUGCUCACUUGCUGUUGUUUCUAGUUAAACACACGUGCUAAGAGUUUAAUCCACACAACUGAUGUGAAUUACAUUUCCCUUUUUCCAAAGUUGGCUCAAAACACUCAGCUGCAGAGUCAUUCAUUCUUAUUUCUCAGCUCACUAUUUUAAGGGCUGAUGGAAUGUAGCAAAGAACAAGAUUCUUAAUGUCCAUGUCCUGGUAUUAGUGUUCCUGGGAGAAUUUCUGAGACCCCCUGAAAUCCAGCAUUGUAGGAAUGUUGUGAGCGAAGGCUGGUCUUUUUCACUUGUAUUGUAUUCCAUAUAAAGACCAUGAAUGCUCUUUGAUCUACAGGUUUGCAGACCAAGGCUUGCAUUCCUAACAGAUCUUGGGAAGGCACUAUUCACUUCAAAUUCUUUGGAAAUUCCACCUGAAUGCUAGCAAAACUGGAUCCGUGUUCCUGCUCUCAGUAUGCGUAUACCAAUUAUCUCAUAUAUUAACAAAAGAAAACUUGUUCUGUUGGGGUUUGUGGUGGUGGUGAUUUACUUUAAAGAAAGUACCAUGUUCAGUUCUGUGCUAUUUCCUGAACUCGUGUGUUUCAUAUUGUGUUGUACCAUCCUCUUUUAUUACGCUUAUAUGAAUUAAUGUACAUUUGAGGAUCUCUGUCAUGUUAACUGUGGCACCUCAGCAUAGAACACCACCCAUACAACUGAAAACAAGUUUCUGCUUCCCAUUCCACCAGUGAAGAAGUGUUACUUAGUGAAGAAGUGUUAGACUAAAGAUUGCUUGGGAUUUCUUCUCAGAGACUAAAAAAUGUUCAUUGUAGACCAAAUUCAA